UGGCAUCAAAACGGUGCCCGCAGCGCCAAUUGGGCACGCCGGAGCGGCCACUGAUACUUACCAUUUCUUGACAUAAAUCCGUGAAAAUGAGCAAUUUUUUUGCACGAGACCCUAAAGACGCAUAUAUAAAUCGAAAGUAUUUUUGCUCAUAGUAGGCUAUUGGACAAUCAUCUUAGAACCCUGUCCAAUAAAAUUUCAUUUUUCAAACAAUGUCAAAAGUACCAAUUAAAUAUAAACUUCUUGUUUGUUAAAUAAUGCUCAACUCUGCAAUCUAUACAAAACUUUGUCUAACUGAAGCGUCCAAAUUUCGCUUUCUCAAUUUAUUUUCUUGUUCAUCAGGAACACCCAAAUUGAAAGGCCCUAUCCAGACAAGACCAAAUAAAGCAACACCACCGCAAGCCGUACCUUCGGCAAGUAAAGUUGCUCGAUUCAUGGGACAGCUUAUUCAGAGCAUAAACUAGUUUAUUUUAGUUUGAAAAUGGUAAAUGUUCCCACUAGGGGGAAGUGCGUUGCUCUCUUACGAACAAACGCACUAACAAAAAGCAAGCCAAAGUAAACGACUACCAGAUAAAAAUAGUUGUCGCCGAUGACGAGGCGGUGAGGGUUGCAAACAUCUACAAAUUUUCACCGUUGUUGUUACGAAUCGUGUCUCCUCAUCAUAUGCCCGAGCAAGGUGUAUCGGAAAUUUGGUAAAUGCUGCAUUGCAUUGAAAAAAACCACCACCCCUAAUAUGGAAUAAACACUAAAAUGUGGAUUGCCGUGAUUAGAGAACACAUAUUUGAGCUUCAGCGAUGUUAUUGCUACUGAAUGAAGCAAACGGGUUUUCUUAGCGAGAUAUGAGUAAAAUUUAAACCUAGUAUGUUGAUAACCAUCACAUUAAUAAAUACAACUGACUAUGUGCAGACAUCAAAAGCAGCGUGACACGCGUCAUCAAGGCCAUCCCGGAACCGAUUUUAGAAAAGAUAAA